rfam:Actinobacteria bacterium OK006 ctg127, whole genome shotgun sequence.
GGCCAAGUUUUUAAGGGCGCACGGUGGAUGCCUUGGCACCAGGAACCGAUGAAGGACGUGGGAGGCCACGAUAGUCCCCGGGGAGUCGUCAACCAGGCUUUGAUCCGGGGGUUUCCGAAUGGGGAAACCCGGCAGUCGUCAUGGGCUGUCACCCAUACCUGAACACAUAGGGUAUGUGGAGGGAACGCGGGGAAGUGAAACAUCUCAGUACCCGCAGGAAGAGAAAACAACCGUGAUUCCGGGAGUAGUGGCGAGCGAAACUGGAUGAGGCCAAACCAUAUGCGUGUGAGACCCGGCAGGGGUUGCGUAUGUGGGGUUGUGGGAUUUCUCUUUCACGGUCUGCCGGCCGUGAGACGAGUCAGAAACCGUUGAUGUAGGCGAAGGACAUGCGAAAGGUCCGGCGUAGAGGGUAAGACCCCCGUAGUCGAAACGUCAAUGGCUCGUUUGAGAAACACCCAAGUAGCACGGGGCCCGAGAAAUCCCGUGUGAAUCUGGCGGGACCACCCGCUAAGCCUAAAUAUUCCCUGGUGACCGAUAGCGGAUAGUACCGUGAGGGAAUGGUGAAAAGUACCGCGGGAGCGGAGUGAAAUAGUACCUGAAACCGUGUGCCUACAAGCCGUGGGAGCGUCGCGCAUUGAGUUUACUCAGUGCGUCGUGACUGCGUGCCUUUUGAAGAAUGAGCCUGCGAGUUUGCGGUGUGUUGCGAGGUUAACCCGUGUGGGGAAGCCGUAGCGAAAGCGAGUCCGAAUAGGGCGGUUUAGUAGCGCGCUCAAGACCCGAAGCGGAGUGAUCUAGCCAUGGGCAGGUUGAAGCGGCUGUAAGAGGUCGUGGAGGACCGAACCCACCAGGGUUGAAAACCUGGGGGAUGACCUGUGGUUAGGGGUGAAAGGCCAAUCAAACUCCGUGAUAGCUGGUUCUCCCCGAAAUGCAUUUAGGUGCAGCGUCGUGUGUUUCUUGCCGGAGGUAGAGCACUGGAUAGGCGAUGGGCCCUACCGGGUUACUGACCUUAGCCAAACUCCGAAUGCCGGUAAGUGAGAGCGCGGCAGUGAGACUGUGGGGGAUAAGCUCCAUGGUCGAGAGGGAAACAGCCCAGAGCAUCGACUAAGGCCCCUAAGCGUACGCUAAGUGGGAAAGGAUGUGGAGUCGCAGAGACAACCAGGAGGUUGGCUUAGAAGCAGCCACCCUUGAAAGAGUGCGUAAUAGCUCACUGGUCUAGUGAUUCCGCGCCGACAAUGUAGCGGGGCUCAAGCGUACCGCCGAAGUCGUGUCAUUGCAGCAAUACGCCCAACGGCGGCUGUGAUGGGUAGGGGAGCGUCGUGUGCCGGGUGAAGCCGCGCCGGAAGGCAGUGGUGGACGGUUCACGAGUGAGAAUGCAGGCAUGAGUAGCGAUACACACGUGAGAAACGUGUGCGCCGAUUGACUAAGGGUUCCUGGGUCAAGCUGAUCUGCCCAGGGUAAGUCGGGACCUAAGGCGAGGCCGACAGGCGUAGUCGAUGGAUAACCGGUUGAUAUUCCGGUACCCGCUGUGAAGCGUCAAACAUUGAACCAGGCGAUGCUAAGUCCGUGAAGCCGCCCCGGAGCCUUCGGGCAAAGGGGAGUGGUGGAGCCGACGGACCAGACCUGCAGUAGGUGAGUGAUGGGGUGACGCAGGAAGGUAGUCCAUCCCGGGCGGUGGUUGUCCCGGGGUAAGGGUGUAGGCCGUGUGAUAGGUAAAUCCGUCGCACAUCAAGGCUGAGACCUGAUGCCGAGCCGAUUGUGGUGAAGUGGAUGAUCCUAUGCUGUCGAGAAAAGCCUCUAGCGAGUUUCAUGGCGGCCCGUACCCUAAACCGACUCAGGUGGUCAGGUAGAGAAUACCGAGGCGUUCGGGUGAACUAUGGUUAAGGAACUCGGCAAAAUGCCCCCGUAACUUCGGGAGAAGGGGGGCCAUCACUGGUGAGAGGAUUUACUCCUUGAGCUGGGGGUGGCCGCAGAGACCAGCGAGAAGCGACUGUUUACUAAAAACACAGGUCCGUGCGAAGCCGUAAGGCGAUGUAUACGGACUGACGCCUGCCCGGUGCUGGAACGUUAAGGGGACCGGUUAGUCACUCUUCGGGGUGGCGAAGCUGAGAACUUAAGCGCCAGUAAACGGCGGUGGUAACUAUAACCAUCCUAAGGUAGCGAAAUUCCUUGUCGGGUAAGUUCCGACCUGCACGAAUGGCGUAACGACUUCUCGACUGUCUCAACCAUAGGCCCGGUGAAAUUGCACUACGAGUAAAGAUGCUCGUUUCGCGCAGCAGGACGGAAAGACCCCGGGACCUUUACUACAGUUUGAUAUUGGUGUUCGGUUCGGCUUGUGUAGGAUAGGUGGGAGACUUUGAAGCGGCAGCGCCAGCUGUUGUGGAGUCGUCGUUGAAAUACCACUCUGGUCGUGCUGGAUGUCUAACCUGGGUCCGUGAUCCGGAUCAGGGACAGUGUCUGAUGGGUAGUUUAACUGGGGCGGUUGCCUCCUAAAGAGUAACGGAGGCGCCCAAAGGUUCCCUCAGCCUGGUUGGUAAUCAGGUGUUGAGUGUAAGUGCACAAGGGAGCUUGACUGUGAGACCGACGGGUCGAGCAGGGACGAAAGUCGGGACUAGUGAUCCGGCGGUGGCUUGUGGAAGCGCCGUCGCUCAACGGAUAAAAGGUACCCCGGGGAUAACAGGCUGAUCUUCCCCAAGAGUCCAUAUCGACGGGAUGGUUUGGCACCUCGAUGUCGGCUCGUCGCAUCCUGGGGCUGGAGUCGGUCCCAAGGGUUGGGCUGUUCGCCCAUUAAAGCGGUACGCGAGCUGGGUUUAGAACGUCGUGAGACAGUUCGGUCCCUAUCCGCUGCGCGCGUAGGAAUAUUGAGAAGGGCUGUCCCUAGUACGAGAGGACCGGGACGGACGAACCUCUGGUGUGCCAGUUGUCCUGCCAAGGGCAUGGCUGGUUGGCUACGUUCGGGAGGGAUAACCGCUGAAAGCAUCUAAGCGGGAAGCCUGCUUCGAGAUGAGUAUUCCCACCCCCUUUGAGGGGUUAAGGCUCCCAGUAGACGACUGGGUUGAUAGGCCGGAUCUGGAAGGCGGGUAACCGCUGGAGGUGACCGGUACUAAUAGGCCGAGGGCUUGUCCUC